GGCUUUUUGGCUGGUCUCAUA
rnacentral:miRNA from 14 species